UCAAGCAAGCAUGGAAGUAGAAUGGGCAGAACUACACGGUGCAAUCGAGAAUUAAGUGUCAAAGGACAGUGUGAGCCUCCUGAGAGAGGUGGAGUGUAGAAUUUCAAGAAAAAUGGUCCCUCUUGUCCCAUUCUCUAUGUCUCCUGUGGCCCAAGGUGUCUUGGAAAUUACCAGGCUGUUCUCCAGGCAAAAGGAAGAUGGGAGCUUGAACCUUUGCAGGCUUGGGAUGGAUAGAAGUCCAGGUCUGCCUCUCAGCAGAUGCUUUAACCACUCAGCUGAAGCUAAUAAAAGGGUUUGGACACUUUCUUUGACCCUUGCUUAAGGUGGUUAAAUUUUCUACACUUAAAUGAUUUGCAACUAAGGAUACGAAAUAACAUCUUCCAGAAGCUGAAAUGCAAGACAUUUCUUGGGCAUUUCCCAUUGCCUGGCUCCAGAACUGGCUUAGUUUGCUCUGAGCAGUUAUGGCCAUACCAAAAUCCUUUCAUGAACUUGGAAUGAGGAACCUACUUCUCACAUCUUUCGAGCUGCUCACAGAUUUUAUAUACUGCAUGGCGACACAGUUCUUUUGGAAGUAUAAUCAUGAGCUCUUUCCUUGAUGCAUAUCAGCUGAAGCUCCAGGGGAUAGUUGUGCCACUUUAAGGACUCAAGGGGACCUGAACACACUUGUGAAGUCUGCAUUUGGUUUCUUCGGAGAGAAAGCCUCAAAGAUUAUUUUUGAAGUUCCUCUUGGCUGGUGACCAGCAUGUCACCAAGCAAUUAAAGUCUUGCUGUGUAAUUUUCACAUGCUAAAAUAAUCAGUCUAGUUCAAUGGUGCUGCAACAAUUCAGACACUUCGAUCCUAGUCUUCAGAGCUUGAGAAACCUUAGCUCGUAUUGCUUCACUUUGGACUCCAGGUUUUGUCCUCUGACUGACAGAAAGAGGCAAGCAGGGGCUUGCUCCUUUUCCACUCUCAGCUACUCAUGAGUGCAGAGACUACCUUUGAUUCCCGAUGUGAGUCUACUGCUGCCGUUGUGUAUAAUACAAUAAACUGUUUACAUAGCAGCCUUUUGUUACAGGUUUUAAAUCUUCUCAGGCUGCCAGUGUGAGGUGGAGGCUGCCAGCUGGCAGACAGAGAGGUGCUUGUGCUUCAACUGUUGGAGGUAAUUAACAGCCCAAACUGUCAGAAGGUGACAGCUGGCAGAAAGUUCCUGCCCUGGGGUCACAGCUGGAUUCCGGCAACUAGUUCCUUGAUUUACCAGUAAAAUUAAUAACAUAAGUAAUAUCGGUAUUAAAUUAUCAAACAAGCGGGACUGGGCUCAAGUUGUAUUUUCUACCCGCAAACCAACUGGCAAAGAAAAUUAGUAUUAAUUAUUUAAAGCAAAUAAUUAAGCUUAACUCACUUUUGGAGAAGAAAAACAAUCCCCCCAAACCUGGUCCACUAAAAAUUUGGUGGCCAUAAAUAUUUGGAUGGUUGCAGACCAUAAUACUGUUGGUUCACACUUCCUGAAAUUGUAGAAAAUUAAGAUAAUAUCUAGUAUUAGUAAUCUGGACUUGGGUUAUUAGCCACAAAUUUUAAUGUAAGUGCUAUACUCAAAACGUCACGUUAGAUUUAAAUUUGCUGCAAAUAACUCGUUAUUAAUAGAAAUAUAGAAAUUGUUAAUAUUGCUGAAAUAAUUACAUACUUAAUUUUAAAUAUAUUACUAAUUCAUUAGAGCAUUGAAGCAUGGACUUAGCCACAACUUUAACCAAGAGCAUAAAUACAGUGGAGUCAGCAAGGCAUAAAUGGUCCUUUUUUAAACUGAAGGACACGAUAUUGGUUCUCAGCACUUUCAGUUCAUGAGAGUGAAAAUGCUACAUGUUUGGUCAGCUGCAUAUCAGGACAUGCUAGUAUCUGUGGAUCUUUGUCCUUUGAAAUUAUAGUAUCUGAUGACAAGAACACUCCCAAUACAGUUAAUGCUCAUAUGUCUUGCAAUAUACUUCCCAAAGGAGUUUCAUUUCAUAAUGUUAAAUAUAUUAUUUUGUAACUUUGAGGUUCUUCAGGAUGGACCAAAGAACUUCCUGUUUGAGCUGGACGUGAAAGGCAACAGAUCUAAUGCUCACUCAGGGCUCCUCCUUCUCUGCUCCUCAGUGGUCUGCUCCAUGUGUGUCUGUGCAAGAAUUCCUGACUCUAUCAGAUCUCCAGGAGUCUUUAAGGAAAACAGAUUAGAGAGGUUUACAGUUUUUGCUCUACAUAACCUCUGGUAUUUUUUAAAAAGUGACAAAUGUCACAAGAACAUCUCAUAGAAGUUAUAUUUGAUAAUAUGUAUUCUUAAUUUUCUCUGUUUAAUGAGCUCUUACCCAAUGUGCCAGAGUUUUAGCCUUGGGGAAAAAAGAUGGUAGAGCAACAGAAACCCAAGGCCACAGACCGUUGCAUGAUAAAGAAACCAAAACAAAGUUAUUUUAAAAAAAUACUAUAGAAUCAAUCUAAAUUCAAGAACAGGGGCUUUAGCAAUUAUUUUCUUGAUAACAAUGCUUAUUGGCCAAGAAGGUAUGCUUUUUGCAGAAAACAAUUCCUUACAUUUUGACCCGCCUGAUAUAGUGAAAAGUCUUUUUAUAUCAGCAUGUCUUUUCUCUUUAUGAUAUCCUGGAGCUGUCUUCAUCUUCUGUGGUGGUGUAAAUUGGCUUCUGGGAAGCUACAAUGAUUGAUGUUAGUUGAACAUUUGUCUGAGAAGGUAAUUUGUAAAGAACUCACAGUCACA